ensembl:snoRNA
AUCCUUUUGUAGUUCAUGAGCAUGACAAUUGGGUGUUCACAUGCUUGUGUGAGAUGUGCCACCCUUAAACGUUGUUACGACGUUGGCAUAUCACCCAUCUGACA